rnacentral:rRNA from 1 species
AAUAGAUACCCAGGUAGUCCACGCCGUAAACGUUGGAUACUAGGUGUGGCGGUCUUACCAACGACUGCCGUGCCGAAGCUAACGCAUUAAGUAUCCCGCCUGGGGAGUACGGCCGCAAGGCUAAAACUCAAAGGAAUUGACGGGUCCCCGCACAAGCGGCGGAGCAUGCGGCUUAAUUCGAUGCAACCCGAAGAACCUUACCUGGGUUUGACAUCACGGGAAAAGCUGUAGAAAUACAGUGUCCAUUAGGGCCCGUGACAGGUGGUGCAUGGCUGUCGUCAGCUCGUGUCGUGAGAUGUUGGGUUAAGUCCCGCAACGAGCGCAACCCUUGUCCUAUGUUGCCAGCGGUUCGGCCGGGGACUCAUAGGAGACUGCCGGGGAUAACUCGGAGGAAGGUGAGGACGACGUCAAGUCAUCAUGCCCCUUAUAUCCAGGGCUGCACGCAUGCUACAAUGGCCGGUACAACGGGCAGCGACCCCGCGAGGGUGAGCGAAUCCUAAAAGCCGGUCCUAGUUCGGAUUGAAGUCUGCAACUCGACUUC